rnacentral:rRNA from 1 species
GUUUACGUUGCUAACGCGUGAAGGCGAGCACUCUAGACGAACUGCCGUUGACAAACGGAGGAAGGUGGGGAUGACGUCAAAUCAUCAUGCCCUUAUGUUCUGGGCUACGCACGUGCUACAAUGGCCGGUACAGACGGACGCAAAGCCGCGAGGUGGAGCAAAGUCUCACAAAACUCAAUCCCAGUUCGGAUUGCAGGCUGAAACUCGCCUGCAUGAAGCCGGAGUUGCUAGUAAUCGCGAAUCAGCAUGUCGCGGUGAAUACGUUCCCGGGCCUU